ACUUAUAUUCUGUAGCAAGGUUAACCGUAUAGGGGAGCCGGAGGGAAACCGAGUCUUAACCGGGCGUUAAGUUGCAGGGUAUAGACCCGAAACCCGGUGAUCUAGCCAUGGGCAGGUUGAAGGUUGGGUAACACUAACUGGAGGACCGAACCGACUAAUGUUGAAAAAUUAGCGGAUGACCUGUGGCUGGGGGUGAAAGGCCAAUCAAACCGGGAGAUAGCUGGUUCUCCCCGAAAGCUAUUUAGGUAGCGCCUCGUGAAUUCAUCUCCGGGGGUAGAGCACUGUUUCGGCUAGGGGGCCAUCCCGGCUUACCAACCCGAUGCAAACUGCGAAUACCGGAGAAUGUUAUCACGGGAGACACACGGCGGGUGCUAACGUCCGUCGUGAAGAGGGAAACAACCCAGACCGCCAGCUAAGGUCCCAAAGUCAUGGUUAAGUGGGAAACGAUGUGGGAAGGCCCAGACAGCCAGGAUGUUGGCUUAGAAGCAGCCAUCAUUUAAAGAAAGCGUAAUAGCUCACUGGUCGAGUCGGCCUGCGCGGAAGAUGUAACGGGGCUAAACCAU
rnacentral:rRNA from 2 species